rnacentral:rRNA from 1 species
UACGUAGGGCGCAAGCGUUGUCCGGAAUUAUUGGGCGUAAAGAGCUCGUAGGUGGUUUGUUACGUCUGCUGUGAAAACCUAGGGCUUAACCCUGGGCUUGCAGUGGAUACGGGCAGACUAGAGGUAGGUAGGGGAGAAUGGAAUUCCUGGUGUAGCGGUGAAAUGCGUAGAUAUCUGGAGGAACACCGGUGGCGAAGGCGGCAUCCUGGACCAACACUGACGCUGAGUGAGCGAAAGCCAGGGGAGCAAACAGG